CGAAUAUGCGAUAAUAAGACGUGAAUCUAUGUUAAUCUGUUUUAUCUUCAGCGUUAUACAUUGUAACACCAAACGAAAGAGCGAGCUUUCGGAACACCCCGGAAAAGUAUCGUCAGUUUUUUAUUGCGGGUGCGAUAGAAUGGUGGGGGAUUGCUGUAACCAAUGAGCCCGCAAAAAGCGGCUCCUGCGCGAUGCGCGUGGCGCGCUGCGCCGCAUAAUCUUGCGUAUCAGUGAUCGGCAGUGCCAUCCAGAAGGCAGUAGGUUACGGGUUCUAACGUGGUGAAAUUUAAGGAGUCCUUAUUGGUGCGAUUGGUGAAAAAAGGAAACGUGUGAGGGGAUAGAGGGCACACGAUAGUAGGUGCACGAUACUCGCGAGUGUCGGAAGAUCUAGUGCCGAGCCAUCAUGGCGAAUCCACGAAAGUUCAGUGACAAGAUCGCGCUACACAAACAGAAGGAAGCACAGGAAAGAGCGGCGUUCGAGGCUAUCAUGCGAGAAGUUUCGGAUUACACAAGCAGAAUCCACUCGGCGAGCAGCUCGGUGUGCGCCAGUCCCACGGGAUCCGGGGUACUGGAGACUCCUUUGUCCGUGAAGAGUGCCGGCGCCAGUCCACCGCAGUCCAGCGGCAAACACCUGCACAUUAACCUGGGGAAUCAGUUCAGGGCGGGUGGCUCUCUGCCGAACGUUAACAACAACGCGAAUUGCGCCAAUGACGCGAAACAACACGCAUCGUCGCACAACGCCGCUAUUCACUCGAUCGACCUUAAGGAUCCGCCGUACCGCAACAACGAGAGGGGAAGGAGCAUGGGCGUCGGGCCGAUGCGGUCGCGUCCCAUGGAGAAGAGGCACGACACCUCGCCGUACAGCGGCGUCCCGUAUCUUUCGCCGCCGCCCCCGGACACGUGGAGGAGAACCAAUUCGGAUUCGGCCCUCCAUCAGAGCGCCAACGAAGCCUGCCAAUCGACCACCACCAUCCCCCAUCGGCGAGAUCAACACACCAUAAGCGGAUCCGGGAGCGAGAACAGAAACUUGCAUUACGGAUUCAUCGAACGGCCGAGAUCGUCCUGCGAGAUACCCCGAGUGCCUGGAAACAACAUAGAUCCGAGCUCUCAGCCAGCGGGGCAGCAAAUUCCCAUAGGGAACACGCGAUCGUUGCCCGACCUGGCCCAUUUCCAGUCGGAUCAAGAGGAUCACUCGAGCAGCACGCCGUUCAGCAACAACCAUUUAUCAGUGCCUGUUAACUCUAGGUUUCUUCACACGUGUAAGGGUGUGGCGUUGGAAAACAGCACAAGUACUUCGCAACAGGAUCUUCAGAGCUACUCGCAACAACCACCGAUGGCCCAGCCACCGACGGCGACCACCCACAGCCCGGCUGGCCACCACUACAUUUAUCCGCACAGUCCUGUGCCACCGCAAAGUCCAAAGUCGACAACGCAAACGCAGCAACCGCAGCUCAACUCGUUGGGCUCGUACAGGUCCUCGCAGCAGGUGAACAGGCCGUCGCCGCAGUCGUCGCCCGGGCUAACGAUUCAAGGGAGCCCGUUGAGCUACAGCAAUAAUCCAUCGGCGCCUCCCAGCCCCACGGGUCAUCCAGGUCCACCGAACUUGACGUCGGAGAGCAUCGACCAAAACAGUUAUUUUAUGAACCAGGCACAAGCGGCGGCGCUUCAACAGGAUUUCGAGCAGUUCACGAUGGUUAGUAGAUUGGCCGAAAUUCGCGCAGCAGCUCAUGGAACUUGGUUGCACCUGGAGCACGCAGAUAGAGAUGGACACCCCUGUGCCGACCAACAUGAUCGGGACGUACAUCAGUUCGCCGAACCACACCACCAGUUACGCGCAGAACGACACGAUGAACGUCGGCGGUGAAUUGGGGAGCGGGGACGCGGGUUACUUCAGCACGAGCCCCCAGGUUCCGUAUCAGCCAGCGUCUACCACGACCGCGACGAGCAACAACACAACCACCGCCCAACAGCUCACCCCACAGACGCCCAACACACCGACGAUCAUCCUCACAGAUUUCUCCGGGGCGGACGAUCUUACGAAUCCGGAAUUCGUGAAGGACCUUGGCUCGGCGAUGAUGGGCGAUUUCGACCCGGACAUAUUCCCGUCGGACGACGC
rnacentral:misc_RNA from 1 species